UACGAAGGGGGCUAGCGUUGUUCGGAAUUACUGGGCGUAAAGCGCACGUAGGCGGAUCAUUUAGUCAGGGGUGAAAUCCCGGGGCUCAACCUCGGAACUGCCUUUGAUACUGAUGGUCUCGAGUCCGAUAGAGGUGAGUGGAAUUCCUAGUGUAGAGGUGAAAUUCGUAGAUAUUAGGAAGAACACCAGUGGCGAAGGCGGCUCACUGGAUCGGUACUGACGCUGAGGUGCGAAAGCGUGGGGAGCAAACAGG
rnacentral:rRNA from 3 species